rnacentral:lncRNA from 1 species
GAGGCCGCGAAAUGUAUUGAGAAGAUGCAGCAUCAAGUGCAAAAGCUUGAAAAGGAAAAUGCCGAGUUAAAAGCUAUAAAGAAGCUGCAAGCAAGGGCAAUUGAAAAGCUUCUGAAAAACCCGCUGGCUCCAAGAUCGGUAAGUCGGGUUUUUUCUGUCAUAACCGAAAAGGAAUUUUAAUUGUGUUACCAAUAUUAUAUGAGACUAUUUUAGAAAGUAGGAAGAGUCUCAUUGAUGAAAAGCAGUUACGGCAUCGAUAGUGG